UAGGGAAUCUUCGGCAAUGGACGAAAGUCUGACCGAGCAACGCCGCGUGAGUGAAGAAGGUUUUCGGAUCGUAAAACUCUGUUGUUAGAGAAGAACAAGGACGUUAGUAACUGAACGUCCCCUGACGGUAUCUAACCAGAAAGCCACGGCUAACUACGUGCCAGCAGCCGCGGUAAUACGUAGGUGGCAAGCGUUGUCCGGAUUUAUUGGGCGUAAAGCGAGCGCAGGCGGUUUCUUAAGUCUGAUGUGAAAGCCCCCGGCUCAACCGGGGAGGGUCAUUAGAAACUGGGAGACUUGAGUGCAGAAGAGGAGAGUGGAAUUCCAUGUGUAGCGGUGAAAUGCGUAGAUAUAUGGAGGAACACCAGUGGCGAAGGCGGCUCUCUGGUCUGUAACUGACGCUGAGGCUCGAAAGCGUGGGGAGCAAACAGG
rnacentral:rRNA from 1 species